GGUGAUGGGUAACAGGAAGUAGAGGUGGAUGAAAUGCAAUGAUAUACCGACCGUCAUCAACACAAUCAUCAGUCACAUACCAAUUCAAUAGAAGUAUCCCACAUACUAAAACUUUAACCCACCCACCAGUAGAAUAGAAGUAUCCCACAUACUAAAACAUUAACCCACCCACCAGUAGAAUAGAAGUAUCCCACAUACUAAAACAGUAUGUCACACACCAAGAGACACACGACCCACAUGUCCACAUGAAAUGGUCAUUGCUAACCAUUAAUGUGUACAUUCUAAACAGAAGGACAAGGCCAGGCACAGCUGAAUCAAGAAUCACCCAAAUCAUCUCACCCUCCAGGAGAAAUCAGUGACACCAGUUGAUUGUAAACGUGUUAGUCCGAGACUCAAAUCAUGCAUGCAUCCAUUUGGGGUUAUAGGGUGGUACAUGCACACUCUCUCAUCCUGCCAAGUGUGUAAGAGUUAGUGGGAUGCAUGCACACUCUCUCAUCCUGCCAAGUGUGUAAGAAUUAGUGGGAUGCAUGCACACUCCCAUCCCCCUUAACCAGUCAGUAAGGUUGUACACAGUAUGGUGCAUGCACACUCCCUUUUAUCCCUUAACCAGUCAGUAAGGUUGUAUACAGUAGGGUGCAUGCACACUCCCUUUUAUCCCUUAACCAGUCAGUAAGGUUGUAUACAGUAGGGUGCAUGCACACUCCCUUUUAUCCCUUAACCAGUCAAUAAGGUUGUAUACAGUAGGGUGCAUGCACACUCCCUUUUAUCCCUUAACCAGUCAAUAAGGUUGUAUACAGUAGGGUGCAUGCACACUCCCUUUUAUCCCUUAACCAGUCAAUAAGGUUGUAUACAGUAGGGUGCAUGCACACUCCCUUUUAUCCCUUAACCAGUCAAUAAGGUUGUAUACAGUAGGGUGCAUGCACACUCCCUUUCCCCCUUAACCAGUCAAUAAGGUUGUAUACAGUAGGGUGCAUGCACACUCCCUUUCCCCCUUAACCAGUCAAUAAGGUUGUAUACAGUAGGGUGCAUGCACACUCCCUUUUAUCCCUUAACCAGUCAAUAAGGUUGUAUACAGUAGGGUGCAUGCACACUCCCUUUCCCCCUUAACCAGUCAAUAAGGUUGUAUACAGUAGGGUGCAUGCACACUCCCUUUCCCCCUUAACCAGUCAAUAAGGUUGUAUACAGUAGGGUGCAUGCACACUCCCUUUCCCCCUUAACCAGUCAAUAAGGUUGUAUACAGUAGGGUGCAUGCACACUCCCUUUUAUCCCUUAACCAGUCAAUAAGGUUGUAAACUGUAGGGUGCAUGCACACUCCCUUUUAUCCCUUAACCAGUCAAUAAGGUUGUAUACAGUAGGGUGCAUGCACACUCCCUUUUAUCCCUUAACCAGUCAAUAAGGUUGUAUACUGUAGGGUGCAUGCACACUCCCUUUCCCCCUUAACCAGUCAAUAAGGUUGUAUACAGUAGGGUGCAUGCACACUCCCUUUUAUCCCUUAACCAGUCAAUAAGGUUGUAUACAGUAGGGUGCAUGCACACUCCCUUUCCCCCUUAACCAGUCAAUAAGGUUGUAUACAGUAGGGUGCAUGCACACUCCCUUUUAUCCCUUAACCAGUCAAUAAGGUUGUAUACAGUAGGGUGCAUGCACACUCCCUUUCCCCCUUAACCAGUCAAUAAGGUUGUAUACAGUAGGGUGCAUGCACACUCCCUUUCCCCCUUAACCAGUCAAUAAGGUUGUAUACAGUAGGGUGCAUGCACACUCCCUUUUAUCCCUUAACCAGUCAAUAAGGUUGUAUACAGUAGGGUGCAUGCACACUCCCUUUCCCCCUUAACCAGUCAAUAAGGUUGUAUACAGUAGGGUGCAUGCACACUCCCUUUUAUCCCUUAACCAGUCAAUAAGGUUGUAUACAGUAGGGUGCAUGCACACUCCCUUUCCCCCUUAACCAGUCAAUAAGGUUGUAUACAGUAGGGUGCAUGCACACUCCCUUUCCCCCUUAACCAGUCAAUAAGGUUGUAUACAGUAGGGUGCAUGCACACUCCCUUUCCCCCUUAACCAGUCAAUAAGGUUGUAUACAGUAGGGUGCAUGCACACUCCCUUUUAUCCCUUAACCAGUCAAUAAGGUUGUAAACUGUAGGGUGCAUGCACACUCCCUUUUAUCCCUUAACCAGUCAAUAAGGUUGUAUACAGUAGGGUGCAUGCACACUCCCUUUUAUCCCUUAACCAGUCAAUAAGGUUGUAUACAGUAGGGUGCAUGCACACUCCCUUUCCCCCUUAACCAGUCAAUAAGGUUGUAUACAGUAGGGUGCAUGCACACUCCCUUUCCCCCUUAACCAGUCAAUAAGGUUGUAUACAGUAGGGUGCAUGCACACACUCUCU